rnacentral:tRNA from 1 species
GGGGGUAUAGCUCAGUGGUAGAGUGCAUGCUUAGCAUGCAUGAGGUCAUGAGUUCCAUCCUCAGUACCUCCA